rnacentral:tRNA from 1 species
GGGCGAAUAGCUCAGCGGAAGAGCGUCGCCCUUACAAGGCGGUGGUCGCAGGUUCGAACCCUGCUUCGCCCAC